rnacentral:rRNA from 1 species
GUGGGGAAUAUUGGACAAUGGGCGAAAGCCUGAUCCAGCCAUGCCGCGUGUGUGAAGAAGGUCUUCGGAUUGUAAAGCACUUUAAGUUGGGAGGAAGGGCAGUAAGUUAAUACCUUGCUGUUUUGACGUUACCGACAGAAUAAGCACCGGCUAACUUCGUGCCAGCAGCCGCGGUAAUACGAAGGGUGCAAGCGUUAAUCGGAAUUACUGGGCGUAAAGCGCGCGUAGGUGGUUUUGUAAGUUGGAGGUGAAAUCCCCGGGCUCAACCUGGGAACUGCCUCCAAAACUGCAUGACUAGAGUACGGUAGAGGGUGGUGGAAUUUCCUGUGUAGCGGUGAAAUGCGUAGAUAUAGGAAGGAACACCAGUGGCGAAGGCGACCACCUGGACUGAUACUGACACUGAGGUGCGAAAGCGUGGGGAGCAAACAAGAUUAGAAACCCCUGUAGUCC